UACGUAGGGUGCAAGCGUUAUCCGGAAUUAUUGGGCGUAAAGAGCUCGUAGGCGGUUUGUCGCGUCUGCUGUGAAAACUGGAGGCUCAACCUCCAGCCUGCAGUGGGUACGGGCAGACUAGAGUGCGGUAGGGGAGAUUGGAAUUCCUGGUGUAGCGGUGGAAUGCGCAGAUAUCAGGAGGAACACCGAUGGCGAAGGCAGAUCUCUGGGCCGUAACUGACGCUGAGGAACGAAAGCGUGGGGAGCAAACAGG
rnacentral:rRNA from 1 species